GGGGGAAGAAGGCCUUCGGGUUGUAAACCACUUUUGGCAGGGAAGAAAUGUCGAAUAUUAAUACCAUUCGGCGAUGACGGUACCUGCAGAAUAAGCACCGGCUAACUACGUGCCAGCAGCCGCGGUAAUACGUAGGGUGCAAGCGUUAAUCGGAAUUACUGGGCGUAAAGCGUGCGCAGGCGGUUGGAUAAGACAGGUGUGAAAUUCCCGGGCUCAACCUGGGAACUGCAUUUGUGACUGUUCGACUAGAGUGCGGCAGAGGGGAGUGGAAUUCCGCGUGUAGCAGUGAAAUGCGUAGAUAUGCGGAGGAACACCGAUGGCGAAGGCAACUCCCUGGGCCUGCACUGACGCUCAUGCACGAAAGCGUGGGGAGCAAACAGGAUUAGGUACCCUGGUAGUCCACGCCCUAAACGAUGUCGACUAUUGUUGGACGG
rnacentral:rRNA from 1 species